rnacentral:tRNA from 1 species
UCAUUAAGAAGCUAUGAACCAGCAUUAGCCUUUUAAGCUAAAGAAAGAGGGAACCUCCCCUCCUUAAUGGU